rnacentral:rRNA from 1 species
GCCCUACGGGGGGCAGCAGUGGGGAAUAUUGGGCAAUGGGCGCAAGCCUGACCCAGCAACGCCGCGUGAAGGAAGAAGGCUUUCGGGUUGUAAACUUCUUUUAUGAGGGACGAAACAAAUGACGGUACCUCAUGAAUAAGCCACGGCUAACUACGUGCCAGCAGCCGCGGUAAUACGUAGGUGGCAAGCGUUAUCCGGAUUUACUGGGCGUAAAGGGCGUGUAGGCGGGAAUGCAAGUCAGAUGUGAAAACUAUGGGCUCAACCCAUAGCCUGCAUUUGGAACUGUAUUUCUUGA